rnacentral:rRNA from 1 species
ACCUCCGGACUGGGGUUCGCAAGCUUCACGGCGAACGUACCUCGGGAAGUUGGUUAAACCUCACUAUUUAGAGGAAGGUGAAGUCGUAACAAGGUCUCUGUAGGUGAACCUGCAGAAGGAUC